rfam:Nitrosospira briensis strain Nsp8 genome assembly, contig: Ga0105880_106
GGGGGCGACCUGGCUUCGACGUGGGUUGCAAAGCAGAGCAGGGCAUACCGAGGACCAGUUACCUCGUAAAUACAUCUGGAAACCAAUAGUCGCAAACGACGAAAGCUACGCUCUAGCCGCUUAAUCCGGCUGGACUCCGCACCGAUGGGCCUCAACGUCGGGUCUGGCAACAGACAGCGGAGCCAUUAACGAGGAUCGCGCUCGGUAGGGUCACUUUACAGAGCGCUAAAAAAUAGGUGACUCGCCUGUCAUCAGUCCGCCGGUUGACGUAUGCCAGGUUAAACUAAAGAGCAUGGCUAAGUAUGUAGAACUGCCUGUAGAGGACUUGCGGACGCGGGUUCGAUUCCCGCCGCCUCCACCA